rnacentral:lncRNA from 1 species
AUGAACAAAGGAGACAUGCAUUUGGCCCAGAGGACCUGGAAUGGUUUCCUGGUGAAGGAAACCAUGGACCAGCACUUUGAAAGGAGAAAAGACGGACAGGCAGGGAGUAGCAAGAACUCUGCAGGCCUGGAGAGAGCUGCGAGCACCAGCAGAGGAUGCAGCAAACGCAGGCACGCUGGCGGGUACACCGAGUGCUUUCCAGCUGAUCUUGUCUUGUCAUUGGAGCGGAAAGGACCUGAGCUUCAGACACACCCCAGCACACUGGAUGCUGCCUCUUGCUGUGGUGACAGACAUGAGGCUGGGCUGGGAGCAGUCAGAGACAGAUGGGAACGACCUCCUGGAAGACGCCUGGCACGGAGGAGCUGCAAGGGCUGUGUGUGCUCUGGCUCCACCGCUCCCCGUGGCACAUCUCCAAGGCCCGCAUCCCUACGGCCCUGCAGAGGAGAGCGCCACGCCCUCCCUGCAUCCGGGUUGGUGCCCAAGAUGCCCGCCCAGAGAAGGAAGUCGCCCUCAGGCAGAUAUGCUCUUCCAUUCGCAAAACCGCUUAUGCAUUUUAUAUUCUGUUCCAGAUAUAUCAACCCCUGUUCGUCACAUCUAGAUGAUAUUUUAUUUUAUUAUUUAUUUAUCUAUUUAUUUAUUUAUUUUUGUCUUUUGUCUUUUUAGGGCUGCACCCACAGCAUCUGGAGGUUCCCAGGCUAGGGGUCCAAUCAGAGCUGUAAUCGCCAGCCUAAGGCCACAGCCACAGCAACGAGGGAUCCAAGCCUACACCACAGCUCACAGCAAUGCCAGAUCCUUAACCCACAGAGCAAGGCCAGGGAUCGAACCCGAACCUCACAGAUAUGAGUUGGAUCCGUUAACCACGGAGCCACGACAGGGCACUCCCGAUGAUAUUUUAAAAUCACUUAUCUUAUUUUUAAAUACAUUUCAUUUGAGUCCAGUUGACUUAGAAGGUCGUGUUAGUUUCAGGUGCACAGCAAAGUGAAGCCGUUACACGUGCACAGCCCUGUUCCUUUUCAGAGUCUUUCCCGCGUAGGUCAUCACACAGCGCGAGUAGGUUCUGCCGUGCUCUGCACUGGGUCCUCGUUCCCUGUUUCUGCGGAGGGGUGCGUGUGUGUCACCCCAACCCCGCGCCGAUCCCUCCCGCCCCAGCUUUCCCCUGCGGUGACGGGGAAUUUGCUUUCAAAGUCUCUGAGUCUGUUUCUGUUUUGUAAGUUCUUUACUAUCAUUUUCUGUUAGUGUCUGCAUGUUAGUCAUCUCAUGUGAUGUUUGUCUUUCUGACUUCCCUUUGUGUGACAAUUUCUAGGUCGGUCCAUCCGUGUUGCUACAAAGGGCAUUAUUUCAUUCUUUUUCAUGGCUAGCCUUCCACUGUAUACAUGUACCACAUCUUCUUUAUCCAAUCCUCUGUCGAUGAACAUUAAAUUCCUUUUUUCACCAAAGUCUGUACAGAAGAUUGAUGCACUAGGCAUGAAUCCACAUGUGAUGUUUCCUUCCGGAGCUUCCAGCCCUGCUUGGAGCACGUCUGUCUGUCUCGGAGGAUAUGUGGAUCUCAGGUUGGAAACAAGGAGUAGAUCUAGACUUCAAAUUAUGAAACUAAAGCUCAGAGGUUGAAGUCAACCGUGUCUUUUUGGGUUUCGUUCUCCACCUGCGUUCACCAGCAUUGCUUAUUUAAUCCUCACAACCAGUAAGAGGAGAGGGAAGGGCGGGGUUGUUGCUAUUUCCAUUUCAUAGGUGAGGGAACUGCCGCUCAGUGAGGUGACACGAUCUGGCUGCAGCCUCCCAGGUUGCCUCGGUGAAUUCAGUCUGGAAAGAAGGUACACGUGACGGCCAGAGGCGAGAGGAGCAGGGCGUAGCUGUGACAGAGCAGGUUACAGGGUCUGAUGAGAGCACCAAGGGGGCAGCCAGUGCAGCCUGGACAUUCAGGGAGGACCCGAAUGAUGAGAGUAGUGACCUUUGAAAAGAGGCUCGACUCACUCAACUUCAAAUCCAAAAUGGACCAGCUGAGCCCAGGAUGCUCUGCACUGUUUCCGUCCCCAAAUUCCUAUCGAAGCCUAGUUCCCCAAGUGAUGGUAUUUGGAGGUGAGGGCUUUAGGGGUGAUGCGGUCACGAGGGUGGCACCUCAUGAAUGGGAUUAGUGCCCUUAGAAAAGAGACUCCAAACAUCCCCCUUCCUGCCAGCACGUGACGUCUCAGUGAGAAGGUGGCGGUCUGUGGACCAGGAAGCUGGCUCUGAACAGACACCCAAUCUGCUGACACCUUGGUCUUGGACUUCUCUCAGAACUGUGAGAAACCAAUUUCUGCUGUUUAUAAGCUGCCCAGUCCCUGAUAUUCUGUUACAGCAGCCAGAUGGACUAAGACAUGGGGCAGCUACUUGAGUGGGGUGACAGAAGACAUCCCCAGGAUGAUCUUGUUGGCAAAAUAAAGGCUUAGAAACAACAAAAGAAUCA